rnacentral:rRNA from 1 species
UACGGAGGGUGCAAACGUUGCUCGGAAUUAUUGGGCGUAAAGCGCACGUAGGCGGUCCAGUAAGUCGGAUGUGAAAUCCCUCGGCUCAACCGAGGAAGUGCAUCCGAAACUGCUGGGCUUGAGUACGGAAGAGGGUCUCGGAAUUCCCGGUGUAGAGGUGAAAUUCGUAGAUAUCGGGAGGAACACCAGUGGCGAAGGCGGAGACCUGGGCCGAUACUGACGCUGAGGUGCGAAAGCGUGGGGAGCAAACAGG